AAAAGAGUCUUUCUGUUGUUUU
rnacentral:snRNA from 1 species